rnacentral:rRNA from 1 species
GAUGAACGCUGGCGGCGUGCCUAACACAUGCAAGUCGAACGGAGCGCCUUUUAAGAUUCUUCGGAUGAUUGAUCGGUGACUGAGUGGCGGACGGGUGAGUAACGCGUGGGUAACCUGCCCUGUACAGGGGGAUAACAGUUGGAAACAGCUGCUAAUACCGCAUAAGAGCACGAGAGGACAUCCUCUUGUGUGAAAAACUCCGGUGGUACAGGAUGGGCCCGCGUCUGAUUAGCUGGUUGGCAGGGUAACGGCCUACCAAGGCGACGAUCAGUAGCCGGUCUGAGAGGAUGAACGGCCACAUUGGAACUGAGACACGGUCCAAACUCCUACGGGAGGCAGCAGUGGGGAAUAUUGCACAAUGGGGGAAACCCUGAUGCAGCAACGCCGCGUGAGUGAAGAAGUAUUUCGGUAUGUAAAGCUCUAUCAGCAGGGAAGAUAAUGACGGUACCUGACUAAGAAGCUCCGGCUAAAUACGUGCCAGCCGCCGCGGUAA